GCCUAGGUCGUCCAACGGUAGGACACCCCCAAUUCGCUCCAACCACCUAUAAGGUGUGACGAAGCAAAAACCACGGAGGAGGUCGGGGUUCAAUUCCCCGCCUGGGCG